AUUGAACGCUGGCGGCAGGCCUAACACAUGCAAGUCGAGCGAGCGGCGGACGGGUGAGUAAUGUCUGGGGAUCUGCCCGAUAGAGGGGGAUAACGACUGGCAACGGUGGCUAAUACAGCAUACUAUCCGAUGACCCCAGAUGGGAUUAGCUAGUAGGUGGGGUAAAGGCACACCGAGGCGACGAUCUCUAGCUGGUCUGAGAGGAUGAUCAGCCACACUGGGACUGAGACACGGCCCAGACUCCUACGGGAGGCAGCAGUGGGGAAUAUUGCACAAUGGGCGCAAGCCUGAUGCAGCCAUGCCGCGUGUAUGAAGAAGGUCUUAGGGUUGUAAAGUACUUUCAGCGGGGAGGCGGUACCCGCAGAAUAAGCACCGGCUAACUCCGUGCCAGCCGCCGCGGUAAUUC
rnacentral:rRNA from 1 species